rnacentral:rRNA from 1 species
UGGGGAAUAUUGGACAAUGGGCGAAAGCCUGAUCCAGCCAUGCCGCGUGUGUGAAGAAGGUCUUCGGAUUGUAAAGCACUUUAAGUUGGGAGGAAGGGCAGUAAGCGAAUACCUUGCUGUUUUGACGUUACCGACAGAAUAAGCACCGGCUAACUCUGUGCCAGCAGCCGCGGUAAUACAGAGGGUGCAAGCGUUAAUCGGAAUUACUGGGCGUAAAGCGCGCGUAGGUGGUUCGUUAAGUUGAAUGUGAAAGCCCCGGGCUCAACCUGGGAACUGCAUCCAAAACUGGCGAGCUAGGGUAGGGCAGAGGGUGGUGGAAUUUCCUGUGUGGCGGUGAACAGCGUAGAUAUAGGAAGGAACACCAGUGGCGAAGGCGACCACCUGGGCUCAUACUGACACUGAGGUGCGAAAGCGUGGGGAGCAAACAGG